GGCCUGGUGGUCUAGUAGUAUGAUUCCUUCUUAGGGUUUCAACAGCCAUUUGGAGGAGGUCCCGGGUUCAAUUCCCGGCCAGGCCC